UACAGAGGUCCCAAGCGUUGUUCGGAUUCAUUGGGCGUAACGGGUUCGUAGGUGGCGCUGUAAGUCGGGUGUGAAAUUUCGGAGCUUAACUCCGAAACUGCAUUCGAUACUGCGGUGCUUGAGGACUGGAGAGGAGACUGGAAUUCAUGGUGUAGCAGUGAAAUGCGUAGAGAUCAUGAGGAAGACCAGUGGCGAAGGCGGGUCUCUGGACAGUUCCUGACACUGAGGCACGAAGGCCAGGGGAGCAAACGGG
rnacentral:rRNA from 1 species